UCUAUAUGCAAAGAGUACUGCUUUUGUGGGUGUAGGUAUUCAGCUUGCGUGGGUCACCCUGAGGCUCUGCUUGGGUUCACGUUACUAUGUUACGGUCACUCGAGCCUCCCCUGCCGCAGUUGGCAGUGUGGUCAAUUGCCACACGUUACCGCCUCGGCCGUUGUAAAUUGAGAAGCGCGAUGCCGUUCGCAGUGGCAGGUCGCGGGCGCUCUCUGUGAAUCAGAUGUGCGGACGCCACACAUAAGAGGUACCACAGUCGACAACUGAUGGCGCUUCUCUGAUUUUCAAGUUUCGUCAUUUUCUCGUUUACAAAAGCUCUGUAUUUACGACGAAUGAAGAAUUCGUAAUGGCAGAAGCAUAAUCUUUCAAUUUAGCUCGACUUAAUACUCGCCUUUAGUGCCCCUUUAGCACACCAGGGGCUAUAAAUCUAGUAGACACACAAAUACUCAAGAAAGUGCAUGGGAACAAAGCCAUCACGGUAGUUCAAUGAUGAAGCAUUACGCGCAUAAUGCGGAAGGUGUGGGUUCGGCUCUCACUAGCGCCAAGUCGACUUUUUCUCCAAUUUAAUUUCUUUUUUAUGAUUAUUUUCAUAGUUCAAUCAAAAUAAACAGGUAACUUUUCCUGUGCCUUUUCUGGCUUCAUUGCCUGUGGGCUUUAUGUAGUUGUAGCUAACAAAAUGUCCAAUAAUGUUUGGAAACGGAAUAUUUAGGGCAGCGCAUCAGCAUAAAAAAGAAGAAAGAAAAAGCUCAGACACUACUGAGAGUAGGUGUAAACCUUAAAGUGAAAGCGGUUUUUCACAGAAGUUAUUCUUGUCCCAGGACAGCCGGCAGCGGAAGAACAGCCAACGGAAAACGAAGCCGUGAAGCAGUCGCCGCCACACGCGAAAGCACUCUUCACUGCAACUGUUGGAGCAUCGCUUGUUCUGUUUCUCUGCCUUGGAGGGAUAGUGUUCUACCUGAAGAUGGAUGACAAUGGUGAUGUGGCAGCCGGCCCUUCUACGAGGUUUACUGGGUUGCCCCCAAAGCGAGAUACACAAAGGGUGCCUACCAUUCCCCAGAGCUCUGAGCCUAGCACACCCUCUUCAGAGACAGGUACUCCACCGACCCCACCAACCGGAGGCAAUCAAUCGAGUCUGCACGAAGUUCUGCAAGCCGAAGACAACGACGAGGAGUGAAUCGCAGGACACUUGUUCGCGUAGCUUAUGAACAAAUUUACUAUAAUUUUUUGCGCAUUACUAUUUUCAAUAUUUAACGAUUUUAUAUAGAUCUACUUUGUCCAUAUAUAUAAACUGUUAUUAACUGUCACGAUGCCAUUUUCCAGGUAGCCAUGCUACUGUGAUAAUGUCAUGGAAAUGAGGAGGCACAUCGAAAAUGUUGUCCAAGGAACUUCUUUGGAGGUUAUAUUUAUAGGGUUAAAUAUCAUUGUAAUAAUAUCAACGUAUUGUUUGCUAUUUUGACGUGCUUACUGCACGUCCCUUUGCACCAAAUGUGCUUCUUAUUCUCUUAAUAGGAAACGAGGAUGGAGAUGCAUAGACUAUCGACAGUUCGUGGAAGAUUUUGACAUGUUAUCUUAGCUGCUUAUGCAGUACACGCAAACAAAGCCUGUGAUGGUAUCACAAAGGUAAAGUGCUAACAGUAUUCGUUUUCCACUCGACAGGCUCUUGAUUUUA